GAGUAAUCUGUUUGGCCCACACUGUGUGGACAGCCUAGCAUCCCAAUGCAGCCCCUGUUCCUGUUUCCAAAAAGAAAUUUGGAAAGCCGCCUCUGGGAGGCUGCACAGGGAUCACGGUGUUUGUGAGGACAAAGCAAGUUGGAUUUUCCUGCCGCUGUUCUUCAUCCUGCCAGAUCACGGGAGUUGUACGGCCUCUUUUGAGCAUCUCUGUCUCGCAGCCAGUGGCUGUGUUUCGGGAGGCUGUAGGACCUUGGGGAUGAGAGGAAGCAAGGCUUUAAGACUAAGACUUGAAGGCCACACCCACCUCUGGUUCUGGACCCAGCUUUCUUGGCGUCAUGAUCCCCACGCUGAGAAGACCCAGUAUCUCGUAUUCCCACCGCGGACCAGGAUCUUCUAUUUCAUCUACCCGAGGAGAAGCUCUGUCAGCCUUUGUAGCCAAGAAACCUUACACACCUCUCCUCCCUCCAGCUUUCUCUGUCGGAGAUUUUUAUCACAGAGAUAUGGAAAGUAAUUAAUACAUAUGCAUAUAGUUUUCCUAGUCCAUGAAAGAAUGUAGUAACGUACUUUAAAAAAAAAUUCUUUCCCCUGACUUUAGAUUUGUCUGAGAAUCUGUUUUGUAGAAAGACCUUGGAUUCUAGUAAGUUUUAGGGAGACAUUGAAUACCCUUCCAGAAAAAGGGGACUGGUAAAUUGAAUGCAAAGCCCCUUGAACAUUUGAGGUGAGUGUUUUGGGGAACGGAGUCUCCUCUUUCACUGGGUUCUCAGAAGGAACAUUUACCUAUGAUGAAAAGGAGCUUCCUGUGGUGAGUUGUGAAACCUUUGGAGGUAGAACCUGCACCGAUGUUUGUUUUCCUAAGUGGCGCGUACUUCCUUGGGUUUGUGAACGUUAUUAAUGGAUGACUAAGUGAGUAAAUGAAAUAUCUCAUUCCCAAAGAAUGUAUUGCUAUAGGCAAGAGCCCCUGACGAUACUGUUAUGAUGAAAACGACCCUGCCUGUUAUUUUCAUUGGGAAAAUAAUUUGGCAAGGAAGACAGACCUAAACAAUCACGCAAUUACUAUUUAAUUAUGAAGGUGGGAGAGCCUAGACGGAAGUGCAGGUUGUUAGGGCAUAACUUGGAGCUUAGAUCAGAAAAUUGUUUUAGAGGACAUAAUGUUCGUAAAAUAAAUUACUAAUAAGAACACA
rnacentral:lncRNA from 1 species